AUUGAACGCUGGCGGCAGGCCUAACACAUGCAAGUCGAGCGGAGCGGCGGACGGGUGAGUAAUGCCUAGGAAUCUGCCUGGUAGUGGGGGAUAACGUACGGCAACGGGCGCUAAUAUCGCAUACUUACAGAUGAGCCUAGGGCGGUUUAGCUAGUUGGUGGGGUAAAGGCCUACCAAGGUGACGAUCCGUAACUGGUCUGUGAGGAUUAUAAGUCACACUGGAACUGCGACACGGUCCAUACUCCUACGGGCGGCAGCAGGUGGGAAGAUUGGACAAUGGGCGAAAGCCUGAUCCAUCCAUGCCGCGUGUGUGAAGAAGGGCUUCGGAUUGUAAAGCUCUUUAAGUUGGGAGGCGUUACCAACAGAAUAAGCACCGGCUAACUUCGUGCCAGCAGCCGCGGUAAUUC
rnacentral:rRNA from 1 species